ensembl:lncRNA
GUGCAGGGUUGGUAAAUCAUUAAGAUUAGGGCUGUCAUUAGAUUAAAAAAAUAAAAUAAUCGCACAUUUUGAAAUUCAUUAAUCUCGUUUAAUGAAUGUUUUUCUUCUAAAGACUGAAUAUAAUAUUUAAAAAAAACAAUCACUUUAGAAAGGGUGUAUUUUAGACCCUGUUGUUUAAUUGUUAAUGUUAUUUUAAAACACAAAACUACACAUUUGAUCAUCUUGGAGGCAGAAUUCCACUUGUUGGAACCUGUUGAACUAGCGACUCUUCCUUCUGUCCUCCUGCACUUUGCUCUCAACUCUCCAUAAUUUAACGGCUGUGUUUGAAGUGCCAACAAUCUCUCACAUUUAGCCAGAAUGUUUUCCAAACCCUGGUCUUUUAGGGACACAGUGGUGGUCCUCUGCAGACUGUGUGCCGCGCAGGGUAACGUUGUAGUUCCACAAUUUUUGUUGUUGGGAAAUUGAGUUGACUAUACACAGAACAUUUCAGAGAGUUAAAUUGACUUUUAACUCUCUAAGCUGUCUAGCUGUCAAGUUGUCUAUUGAUUAGUCAAGCCCUCAUUCACUGAUCAAUCCAUCCCACUGGCAUGCCAAUGUACAGGAAACAACCAAAGCAUUGGCUCUUUUGAAGCACAGAGGACAACGUUUGGUGCAGACCAGACAAGUUCUUCCUUAAGGAGCUGGCGUGGUGCAUAUCGAAACAGGAAAUUACCAAACACAAACAGUUGCCACAAUGUUGAAGAAACACCAUAUUAAGGUAUGGAUUGACCAAAACUAUGGACAAAGUCAACGUCAUAAAUACACAAGAGUAGGUAGUAAUGAGUGCCCAUCUACUUUGUUCAGCUUGAACUUUAACUUCUUAAUCUUUAGCUUUCCAAUGAGAAAUUUUAAUAUUCAUCGUAUCCGUUGGCCUUAAUAUAUUUUACUGUUCCCUGCCAGCUCAUAUUCUGCAUGUGCAACCAUUUAUUUCCCCAAAAGGGAUUAUGAUCUCAGGAGACCAUGCUGCUCAUUUAAAAGGUCAAAUAAAAACACUUAAUAUUCCACUACUGUGCACGCCUGCUACUUGGAGCCUGCAACGAGGAAUCGCUUUAUUGUUAUUGUUUUCAAGGGCACGUUUAACUAAAUAUAGUAGCCACAUAUGCUAAACGACCACUGGAAAAUCACCAACUGCUGCCUGCUUAAAGACUCCAGAGACUGAGUAGGUUGUUUAUCCAUCAUACUGUUCUGUUAAUGCUUUUGAGAUGGAGGCGCCGGGGCUAAUGAAACCUUCUUAUGGUCAAUUGGUGUAUGGACUCAUUGUAUGAUAACAUUAAGGUGCAUUUUAACCCUGAUAACUACUAUAAGAUACAGGAAUAUGGCCGUGAGCAAGAUAAUUGUCAACGUAAGAAAACCUUUCAACACAUUCUUGAAGAGGCAGAGGUGCUGCUUGAGGGGCGUCACCCCCUAUGUAAUUGUAGGGGAAACACAGGGGACAACACAGUGCCAAGGACCAUAGUGCAGACGGCAAUCUCCCAUCACAGUGUAAUUAGGAAAACUAAAACACAAACUUCCAGGAGAUUGGUUUAGAGAAGCCACAAAUCCCGUUGGCUCUUGAGAUGAGGUGCGUCUCUUUAAUUAGCUGAAGUCAAAGCGUCUUAAUUAAGCUUCAGAGACCUGACAUGAGCUGCUAAACUAAACAUGAAAGCCCAAAAAGCAACACUGUUUUGGUGUUUUCUAAUUUCACCACUUCUCUCAGUAAAUGACUGGAGCACUUUGUCCCUGGCUUUAAGGCAUAAUUAGUGUGUGGGGACUCUGUGGAUCUGGACUUCAUGGAGACAUAUGACACGCUGUUUAGAAUUUUCUAUUUCUGGUCCGUGAACUGUUUCCCAGGGGCCUCCUCGUGCUUUACUGCAAAGAAGGACAAAACAAAAAGUAACUUUGACCCAGGAUAUGUGAACUCACUUGAAAACCUGACACUCCCUAAAACCUGUAAAAAAUAUCAAAAGAAAUUGAUGUAUAGGUGGUUGAGGGGAAGUGGUUCUAUUAAAAUGAAUUCUGUUCUAUCACACAGAAAUGCCAUUCAAAGUUGGAUAGCUUUCAUUUUGUGUUCAUUUGUAUGUACAGUCAGAUAUUGUUUUAAUCGUCUUCAAUGAAGUGGUCCAGACUGGUGGUGCAGAUGGUGCCAGUGGGCUUUUAUUAUGCAGAGGGGAUUUAAGGCUCCGUUGGUGCAGAAAACAUUCAAAAGCAAAGAGUUUUCUGCUGGGAAGAAUUAUAGAACGCGAAGAAAAGAACACCACUUAAAUUAAACCCAAUUAUAUACUUAUCCAGCCAGUUUCAUUUUUCUUUUUAUUUAAGGACUCAUCACAAUUAUCUCCUUUGACAUGUGACACAAUUAUAGACUCAUUAUAGACUUUAAAAUAAAUUACAUAGUUUUUUUU